CUGGCUUUGCUGAGUUUAAAAAUCUAUCACAACACACAGCAUAUUGGAAAGAGUGGGAACCUAAAGCAGAAACAGCGACCUAGUCUGUGCUUUAUUUAUUUAUUUUUGGACUGAAUAUUAGCAGCGAGGGUGGUGAGCUUAGAGAUGUGUGAUAGGAUAAGAAAGGGAAGAGAGAAUGUGAACAAAUGUUGAGGGUGUGUGUGGGGUUGAGAUUAUGGAGGAAUGCCGGCGGUCCAGGCCAGUCUCCAUUGUGGAUCUUGAGAGGAUUUUCCGCACAAUUUUUAGCUCCAGACAAUUUGAACAGAGGCUCCAUGAUCAACACGCACCUACCCAUUCUGCAUCUUUUCUUCCUGUGAAGCAGUGUCCAACAGUGCUGCUGCUGCUGCUCCAGUGAAGAAAUGUGUCACUUUAAAGCUGCAGGUGAACCAUAUGCAUUAUUUGUACUGCUGUUUUCCUCAUCCACACACACCCUGUCAGGACACUGGUCUCCCUCACAAGGUCGAGCUGAUCAUAUACUUGAAAAGGUUUGACUUGACAUAAAUAAAGCCUGUGUUGACUUCUGCACACCUACAUUCUUAACAUUUAAAUGUCUUAUUUAUUGUGCCCAAACAGCUAUAAUCACCGUGCAGCUAAUUUCCAACAAAUGUGUAGCAAUACUAGUCAUACUUUUCAAAUAGGUACGUUCAAAUCAUCACUCAUCCAUUCAGCACAUAUUGCACAGGUUUUGUGUAGUUUAUGAUAAGCUGCUGCCCCCUUGUGGUUAUUCAGCUUCUGCAGAGCAGCGUCUUCCAUUUUUUACUACAAAUGCCUCAUCCAAAAUUAUUCUGUCUUAGUAUUCAGUGACAAUUCAGUGAAUGAGCUUUUAAUUUGGAUUUAUUAUCCACUCUUUUUUCUGUCCAUUUCCAGGUCCUUGAGGCUGGAAUGCUUCCUUGCCAUCACAGGUCUUCAGUUCCCUCCACAGAUUCUUGAUGGUGACAGACAGAUAGGAGUAACAUUGGACAUGACAUUUUCAGUCAAAAUGUCAAGAACAGGGCGUCCAGGUAGCUCCACUGGUUGAGUGGCUGAUCCAUAAAAAGGGCCUGUAGUCCUAGAAUCCGAUGCAGCAGCCUGGGGUCGAUUCAAGCUCAUGGUCCGUUGCUGCAGGUCCUCCAUCCCAUUCCCCUCCCUACUUUCCUGUCUGCCUCUUGGCUAAUUAAUUUUAAUAAAGCCAACAAAAGGCCAAAACAAUUAACUUCAAAACAAACAAGCAUCAAAACAAUUCAAAUUGAUCAUGCCCAUCUAUAAUCCAUUAUUUUUUAUCUUUUGUGAUUUGUUUAUGUCAUCUCCAGCUAGUAGCUAAUAUUAUUCACUAUAAAUCCAAAUUUGCCCUGGGUAUGAAUAAUUUUUGGGCUUAAUUAUACAUUUACAAAGUUUACACGUGUAGUUGUAUGCAAAAAUUUGACCCUGCCAAGCAAUUCACAUAUUUGGGUGAUUUGUGAAGGGGAAAAGGAGGAAAUUCAUACCACUGCAACUAACUUACAGUUCCUCAGAUGCUGUUUGUUUUGAAUAUUUUGGGGUUCACCAUUUACCUGUCAGAAAAAGCAGGCAGGAUGCAGGAGGACUCACCAGCAGAAGUCUGCCGGUUUCUGUAGUUGCUGAGCAGAAGGUGCAUCAGCAUGUUGACGGAACCUAAAGCUGUCAUGCAGCAGUCUCAGUGGUGAAACUAUAUAAUAAAGUACAUUUACUCAUUUAUAUAGUACCAGGCUGUUGCUGUACUUUAGUAAAUACACCCAGCUCUUCCUUUCCACCAAACCCACUUCCACUUUCCCUUCCACCUCCCUCUGUGACUCAGUUCAGGAAAUCAGAUCCUGGUUCUGCUCCAACUCUCUCAAACUCAACAGUGACAAAACUGAGGUUCUCCUCAGUGGCUCUAAAUCCAUUCUCUCAAAAGCUAACAGUUUCACCCUUACCAUCGACAACUCCUCUUUCUCCCCUUUCCCCGCAGGUCAAGAGUCUGGAUAUCAUCCUCGACGGCACUCUGUCAUUCCAAACCCACAUCAAUAACAUCACUCGGUCUGCAUACUUCCAUCUUUGGAACAUCAACCGCCUCCGUCCCUCCUCACCCCUGUCAGCACCACAAUCCUGGUCCACUCUCUGGUCACCUCCAGCCUGGAUUAUUCCAACUGCCUUCUCUCUGGUCUCCCCCUUCAAGUCCCUCCAUAAACUCCAACUAGUCCAGAAUGCUGCAACCCAGAUCAUCGCCAGGACAACUUCUCUUCACCUCAUCACCCCUGUUCUCCAACAACUUCACUGGCUUCCAAUCACACACCACAUCAAUAAAACCAUGCUCCUCCCAUUUUCAAAUCGUCUCAAAACCCACCUGUUCAAACAAGCAUACUCACCUCCGACUUGUAUUUCUCUUUUUCUUCUGUUUUUAAAUUUUUUUUGUUUUGCUAAAUGUUCUUCUUUUGGAAACUGUUUGAUAUAAAGGUGCAGAUUACAUAAAUUUCUUCUUAUUUUUUUAUUCAGAAGUUUGGAAACUUGUUUUUAUAUUGUAUUGAAUUGUUAUUUUUUCUUUUGUCAAUGAAUAAAAUAAAAACUAACUAAGAUUUCAGUUUGCAAUGAGAAUUUUUCAAAUCUGAAUAUGUGUUCUAGCACUGCUAGAUAUUAAAAUCUUUUCAGCUA